CUCUGAAAGCGACAAUGACAACUUCAGAUCAGAUCAAACGACGCAAUUGAUUGUGAGCUUUGACGCGAUCCGUUCCUCGCACGCGCUGGUACGCACGCACACUCGCUCUCGCACGCGCGCACAAACACAUACACAAAAUUCGUGUGCGAUCUCAGAUAAGUGUGAAAAAUUCUCCAAAACAAAGCGCACGUUCUGACAGAUGCCCCGGUGUACGUCGUCGAUGCGGCUCGUGUCGUCGCGCGAUGUACGCCCACUACACGUCGAGACAGAUAUCACGGAACAGAUAAACGGAGCACGGAGCGUCGUGGCGUGCCUUAUCACGUCCGCUGAUAAUCGCAGGGGAAAUUCGCGGAAUCAUAAGCGGAGAAAUCGAGAGUUCGACGCGCUCGCUGCGACACAGUGCUCGGUCGGCUUUAUCGGCGAGAAACGAUUAAACAUAUACAAAAGCGAUUCAAAAGCUGACAAGGGCGUAUAAUAAAUGGCACCUAGUAUCGAGAAGAUUAAAGAUCAAACUACAGAGAAUAAGGCAAGGUAUUUCAAUUUAGCAAGAGGACACCGCGAUUGAGCCAUCGCCAUCGCUGUUCUCAGUCCGUCGUCGGUAGUGAUGGAAUAAGGCGCGAUGACAGGAGAAGGAAAGGAGAGGAAAGCGCAGCUGGCCAGUCGCUGUUCCCGCUGCGUUGAUCAACCUGCAACGCGGAAGUCGCGCGUAAGAUUCGAGUGUCACGGAACGCAUCUUUGGUGAACAUACACGCGAAAGAGUUACGAUCUUGACAAUCCGUACGAGUGUCAAUGGCCUCUCUCACGAGCAAAUGAAUCGAACCAGCGCGAUGGCACGCUAGACUGUUUGUGAUGAACCAAACGCGGUCGCGGAACUGCAGAGAGAGAGAAAGAGAGAGGCCGCAGCUUUCUUCGCAAACUUUCACCGCCAGCCGCGUACAGUAUGACACGAUAUCACUCCGGGUUCAAGAACCUCUUGGCGGAUUCUAGACGCGAUUUGAUUUCUUGGACAGUCUGUGAAAUUUACAAACUCGAAACGUUUGUCGAUAUUAUAGAACCGACGGUUAUUUAAAUACAAUCAAUUUACUCUUGUUUCUUCGUUAAUAUUAUGAUUGUGGAGUUAAAUGAGAAAAAAGCAAAUAAUGAGAGUCAUUAAUGAAUUCAUUUAACUACGCUCGCGAAUGCGAUUGUGAAUUAAUGUUUCUAAAUAGCAAAAUUGACUUUGAUUAUUUUCUUCCCGCAAUCAUAUCGAUCUUUAUGUUGAAUAAGGAAAAUCCAAAACUAAAAAACACGUCGCACGAAAUGUGUGAAAUAUGAAUUUCAUAUGAAUACUUAGAAAAAUUAUUAUUAGAAAAAUUAUGACAUAUUUAUUUUAAAUAUAAAACAGAAUAAUAGUAAUUCUUUAAAUAUUAGAAGCUCUCAUAUUUUUAUUUUAAAAUAGCGACUUUAUAAUUAGCGUUAUUAAUAUCAAAAUUAAAGGUUUACGUUUUAUAAUUGCAAGCGAUGACCAUUUUAAUUCUAUUUUUAUUCUUCAAUUUUAAUUCUUCAAAAAUUCACAAGUAAUUCCGGAUGUACGCAAAAAUAAACGCAAAUUCACGUUUCAAGUUAACGUCACGAAU